GUUAUAUGGUCAAGUGAAGAAGCGCAUACGGUGGAUGCCUUGGCAGUCAGAGGCGAUGAAAGACGUGGUAGCCUGCGAAAAGCUUCGGGGAGUCGGCAAACAGACUUUGAUCCGGAGAUCUCUGAAUGGGGGAACCCACCUAGGAUAACCUAGGUAUCUUGUACUGAAUCCAUAGGUGCAAGAGGCGAACCAGGGGAACUGAAACAUCUAAGUACCCUGAGGAAAAGAAAUCAACCGAGAUUCCCUUAGUAGUGGCGAGCGAACGGGGAUUAGCCCUUAAGCUUCAUUGAUUUUAGCGGAACGCUCUGGAAAGUGCGGCCAUAGUGGGUGAUAGCCCCGUACGCGAAAGGAUCUUUGAAGUGAAAUCGAGUAGGACGGAGCACGAGAAACUUUGUCUGAACAUGGGGGGACCAUCCUCCAAGGCUAAAUACUACUGACUGACCGAUAGUGAACCAGUACCGUGAGGGAAAGGCGAAAAGAACCCCGGAGAGGGGAGUGAAAUAGAACCUGAAACCGUAUGCGUACAAGCAGUGGGAGCCUACUUGUUAGGUGACUGCGUACCUUUUGUAUAAUGGGUCAGCGACUUAUAUUCAGUGGCAAGCUUAACCGUAUAGGGUAGGCGUAGCGAAAGCGAGUCUUAAUAGGGCGUUUAGUCGCUGGGUAUAGACCCGAAACCGGGCGAUCUAUCCAUGAGCAGGUUGAAGGUUAGGUAACACUGACUGGAGGACCGAACCCACUCCCGUUGAAAAGGUAGGGGAUGACUUGUGGAUCGGAGUGAAAGGCUAAUCAAGCUCGGAGAUAGCUGGUUCUCCUCGAAAGCUAUUUAGGUAGCGCCUCAUGUAUCACUCUGGGGGGUAGAGCACUGUUUCGGCUAGGGGGUCAUCCCGACUUACCAAACCGAUGCAAACUCCGAAUACCCAGAAGUGCCGAGCAUGGGAGACACACGGCGGGUGCUAACGUCCGUCGUGAAAAGGGAAACAACCCAGACCGCCAGCUAAGGUCCCAAAGUUGUGGUUAAGUGGUAAACGAUGUGGGAAGGCUUAGACAGCUAGGAGGUUGGCUUAGAAGCAGCCACCCUUUAAAGAAAGCGUAAUAGCUCACUAGUCGAGUCGGCCUGCGCGGAAGAUGUAACGGGGCUCAAACCACACACCGAAGCUGCGGGUGUCACGUAAGUGACGCGGUAGAGGAGCGUUCUGUAAGCCUGUGAAGGUGAGUUGAGAAGCUUGCUGGAGGUAUCAGAAGUGCGAAUGCUGACAUGAGUAACGACAAUGGGUGUGAAAAACACCCACGCCGAAAGACCAAGGGUUCCUGCGCAACGUUAAUCGACGCAGGGUUAGUCGGUUCCUAAGGCGAGGCUGAAAAGCGUAGUCGAUGGGAAACAGGUUAAUAUUCCUGUACUUCUGGUUACUGCGAUGGAGGGACGGAGAAGGCUAGGCCAGCUUGGCGUUGGUUGUCCAAGUUUAAGGUGGUAGGCUGAAAUCUUAGGUAAAUCCGGGGUUUCAAGGCCGAGAGCUGAUGACGAGUCGUCUUUUAGAUGACGAAGUGGUUGAUGCCAUGCUUCCAAGAAAAGCUUCUAAGCUUCAGGUAACCAGGAACCGUACCCCAAACCGACACAGGUGGUCGGGUAGAGAAUACCAAGGCGCUUGAGAGAACUCGGGUGAAGGAACUAGGCAAAAUGGCACCGUAACUUCGGGAGAAGGUGCGCCGGCUAGGGUGAAGGAUUUACUCCGUAAGCUCUGGCUGGUCGAAGAUACCAGGCCGCUGCGACUGUUUAUUAAAAACACAGCACUCUGCAAACACGAAAGUGGACGUAUAGGGUGUGACGCCUGCCCGGUGCCGGAAGGUUAAUUGAUGGGGUUAGCGCAAGCGAAGCUCUUGAUCGAAGCCCCGGUAAACGGCGGCCGUAACUAUAACGGUCCUAAGGUAGCGAAAUUCCUUGUCGGGUAAGUUCCGACCUGCACGAAUGGCGUAACGAUGGCGGCGCUGUCUCCACCCGAGACUCAGUGAAAUUGAAAUCGCUGUGAAGAUGCAGUGUAUCCGCGGCUAGACGGAAAGACCCCGUGAACCUUUACUGUAGCUUUGCACUGGACUUUGAGCCUGCUUGUGUAGGAUAGGUGGGAGGCUUUGAAGCGUGGACGCCAGUUCGCGUGGAGCCAUCCUUGAAAUACCACCCUGGCAUGCUUGAGGUUCUAACUCUGGUCCGUAAUCCGGAUCGAGGACAGUGUAUGGUGGGCAGUUUGACUGGGGCGGUCUCCUCCUAAAGAGUAACGGAGGAGUACGAAGGUGCGCUCAGACCGGUCGGAAAUCGGUCGCAGAGUAUAAAGGCAAAAGCGCGCUUGACUGCGAGACAGACACGUCGAGCAGGUACGAAAGUAGGUCUUAGUGAUCCGGUGGUUCUGUAUGGAAGGGCCAUCGCUCAACGGAUAAAAGGUACUCCGGGGAUAACAGGCUGAUACCGCCCAAGAGUUCAUAUCGACGGCGGUGUUUGGCACCUCGAUGUCGGCUCAUCACAUCCUGGGGCUGAAGCCGGUCCCAAGGGUAUGGCUGUUCGCCAUUUAAAGUGGUACGCGAGCUGGGUUUAGAACGUCGUGAGACAGUUCGGUCCCUAUCUGCCGUGGACGUUUGAGAUUUGAGAGGGGCUGCUCCUAGUACGAGAGGACCGGAGUGGACGAACCUCUGGUGUUCCGGUUGUCACGCCAGUGGCAUUGCCGGGUAGCUAUGUUCGGAAAAGAUAACCGCUGAAAGCAUCUAAGCGGGAAACUUGCCUCAAGAUGAGAUCUCACUGGGAACUUGAUUCCCCUGAAGGGCCGUCGAAGACUACGACGUUGAUAGGCUGGGUGUGUAAGCGUUGUGAGGCGUUGAGCUAACCAGUACUAAUUGCCCGUGAGGCUUGACCAUAUAACACCCAAACA
rnacentral:rRNA from 2 species